rnacentral:rRNA from 1 species
GGUUAAGCGACUAAGCGUACACGGUGGAUGCCCUGGCAGUCAGAGGCGAUGAAGGACGUGCUAAUCUGCGAUAAGCGUCGGUAAGGUGAUAUGAACCGUUAUAACCGGCGAUUUCCGAAUGGGGAAACCCAGUGUGAUUCGUCACACUAUCAUUAACUGAAUCCAUAGGUUAAUGAGGCGAACCGGGGGAACUGAAACAUCUAAGUACCCCGAGGAAAAGAAAUCAACCGAGAUUCCCCCAGUAGCGGCGAGCGAACGGGGAGCAGCCCAGAGCCUGAAUCAGUGUGUGUGUUAGUGGAAGCGUCUGGAAAGGCGUGCGAUACAGGGUGACAGCCCCGUACACAAAAAUGCACAUACUGUGAGCUCGAUGAGUAGGGCGGGACACGUGGUAUCCUGUCUGAAUAUGGGGGGACCAUCCUCCAAGGCUAAAUACUCCUGACUGACCGAUAGUGAACCAGUACCGUGAGGGAAAGGCGAAAAGAACCCCGGCGAGGGGAGUGAAAAAGAACCUGAAACCGUGUACGUACAAGCAGUGGGAGCACAGAGCAAUCUGUGUGACUGCGUACCUUUUGUAUAAUGGGUCAGCGACUUAUAUUCUGUAGCAAGGUUAACCGAAUAGGGGAGCCGAAGGGAAACCGAGUCUUAACUGGGCGUUAAGUUGCAGGGUAUAGACCCGAAACCCGGUGAUCUAGCCAUGGGCAGGUUGAAGGUUGGGUAACACUAACUGGAGGACCGAACCGACUAAUGUUGAAAAAUUAGCGGAUGACUUGUGGCUGGGGGUGAAAGGCCAAUCAAACCGGGAGAUAGCUGGUUCUCCCCGAAAGCUAUUUAGGUAGCGCCUCGUGAAUUCAUCUCCGGGGGUAGAGCACUGUUUCGGCAAGGGGGUCAUCCCGACUUACCAACCCGAUGCAAACUGCGAAUACCGGAGAAUGUUAUCACGGGAGACACACGGCGGGUGCUAACGUCCGUCGUGAAGAGGGAAACAACCCAGACCGCCAGCUAAGGUCCCAAAGUCAUGGUUAAGUGGGAAACGAUGUGGGAAGGCCCAGACAGCCAGGAUGUUGGCUUAGAAGCAGCCAUCAUUUAAAGAAAGCGUAAUAGCUCACUGGUCGAGUCGGCCUGCGCGGAAGAUGUAACGGGGCUAAACCAUGCACCGAAGCUGCGGCAGCGACACUAUGUGUUGUUGGGUAGGGGAGCGUUCUGUAAGCCUGCGAAGGUGUGCUGUGAGGCAUGCUGGAGGUAUCAGAAGUGCGAAUGCUGACAUAAGUAACGAUAAAGCGGGUGAAAAGCCCGCUCGCCGGAAGACCAAGGGUUCCUGUCCAACGUUAAUCGGGGCAGGGUGAGUCGACCCCUAAGGCGAGGCCGAAAGGCGUAGUCGAUGGGAAACAGGUUAAUAUUCCUGUACUUGGUGUUACUGCGAAGGGGGGACGGAGAAGGCUAUGUUGGCCGGGCGACGGUUGUCCCGGUUUAAGCGUGUAGGCUGGUUUUCCAGGCAAAUCCGGAAAAUCAAGGCUGAGGCGUGAUGACGAGGCACUACGGUGCUGAAGCAACAAAUGCCCUGCUUCCAGGAAAAGCCUCUAAGCAUCAGGUAACAUCAAAUCGUACCCCAAACCGACACAGGUGGUCAGGUAGAGAAUACCAAGGCGCUUGAGAGAACUCGGGUGAAGGAACUAGGCAAAAUGGUGCCGUAACUUCGGGAGAAGGCACGCUGAUAUGUAGGUGAAGCGACUUGCUCGUGGAGCUGAAAUCAGUCGAAGAUACCAGCUGGCUGCAACUGUUUAUUAAAAACACAGCACUGUGCAAACACGAAAGUGGACGUAUACGGUGUGACGCCUGCCCGGUGCCGGAAGGUUAAUUGAUGGGGUCAGCGCAAGCGAAGCUCUUGAUCGAAGCCCCGGUAAACGGCGGCCGUAACUAUAACGGUCCUAAGGUAGCGAAAUUCCUUGUCGGGUAAGUUCCGACCUGCACGAAUGGCGUAAUGAUGGCCAGGCUGUCUCCACCCGAGACUCAGUGAAAUUGAACUCGCUGUGAAGAUGCAGUGUACCCGCGGCAAGACGGAAAGACCCCGUGAACCUUUACUAUAGCUUGACACUGAACAUUGAGCCUUGAUGUGUAGGAUAGGUGGGAGGCUUUGAAGUGUGGACGCCAGUCUGCAUGGAGCCGACCUUGAAAUACCACCCUUUAAUGUUUGAUGUUCUAACGUUGACCCGUGAUCCGGGUUGCGGACAGUGUCUGGUGGGUAGUUUGACUGGGGCGGUCUCCUCCUAAAGAGUAACGGAGGAGCACGAAGGUUGGCUAAUCCUGGUCGGACAUCAGGAGGUUAGUGCAAUGGCAUAAGCCAGCUUGACUGCGAGCGUGACGGCGCGAGCAGGUGCGAAAGCAGGUCAUAGUGAUCCGGUGGUUCUGAAUGGAAGGGCCAUCGCUCAACGGAUAAAAGGUACUCCGGGGAUAACAGGCUGAUACCGCCCAAGAGUUCAUAUCGACGGCGGUGUUUGGCACCUCGAUGUCGGCUCAUCACAUCCUGGGGCUGAAGUAGGUCCCAAGGGUAUGGCUGUUCGCCAUUUAAAGUGGUACGCGAGCUGGGUUUAGAACGUCGUGAGACAGUUCGGUCCCUAUCUGCCGUGGGCGCUGGAGAACUGAGGGGGGCUGCUCCUAGUACGAGAGGACCGGAGUGGACGCAUCACUGGUGUUCGGGUUGUCAUGCCAAUGGCACUGCCCGGUAGCUAAAUGCGGAAGAGAUAAGUGCUGAAAGCAUCUAAGCACGAAACUUGCCCCGAGAUGAGUUCUCCCUGACUCCUUGAGAGUCCUGAAGGAACGUUGAAGACGACGACGUUGAUAGGCCGGGUGUGUAAGCGCAGCGAUGCGUUGAGCUAACCGGUACUAAUGAACCGUGAGGCUUAACCUU